rnacentral:lncRNA from 1 species
UCACAUUAAAGCAUAAUUUGUAACUUCUGCUAUAAUAAUUCAUAUAUAUUUCUCUGUCAGGUGCAACAUAAUUCAUCCUCUGAAUUUGAGACAGACGGUAGAUUGAAGCCAUGUGCUAUCAACCACUAAAAAAAAAACCACUAGAGCCAGCAGCUUCAGGAUCCAAACCUGCUUCUUAUUCUCAUUUCUUUUGUUAAUCUGACAGAUUUAUGCAAUCAGAAUGGAUGACACCAGGGUGGAAAAGUCACUUUGUUUCUCUGUUGGCCUCAGUUUCUACAUUUAAUAUGGAAGGGAGAAUCAGCCAUACAACCUACCUUCCCAUGAUGAACAAGUCCAGAUUCAACUUUUCUGUUGAGACACUCAAAGGAAAGGCUGAAGAGAAGUUCAGAAUGGAGCACCUACAUAGUUCAUGGGAGGCAAGAAAAAGGAUGGUCCAAACAGCAUGACAUUUUAUAGAUUGCUUCCGAAGAAUACCUCCGGUAAUUCCUAGCUCUUAAAUCAGAAUGGCAAAAAUUUUUUCCCUAACUUUGAAAAAAGGACACUCACUGAUAUGGAAUAUCCAUUUUUUCUUCAUUUUUACAUUUGUAUGUGAUUCAGUGGAAAUUUCUGCAUUAUCCCUUGGUUAUGCCUCUGGUUCUUGGAUAUGCUUCUGGCAAUAUCUCACUGUCUCAUCCUAUAUUAAUUAAAG